UUUGUCAUUGUGACGUAUUUUAUGAUUACGUGUUGUUGUUUUGGUCUCCUUUGGCCUCUUGGCUUUCGGUGUAACACGAAGCUACUAUCUUUUUCAGUACCUUUCUCAUCGGUUCGUCUAUUUCGUCUCUAACUUGCAAGAACACUUUGAUUUCCUGUUGUAUAAAAGAUGAAUCAGUCUCUACACACUGCAGUUCGUAUGCUCCCAUUAGUUUUGUUUUUCGUCUCACCCUUGAAUGUACAAGUUCAAUGAUAAGUCUCACAUCCUUUACUUCGUCUGGCGUAAAAUUCAUGUCACUUAAAACUGUGUCUAAUGUAGAAAUUACUUCUGGUUUGUUAAAGUCUCUAUACAAGAAUUUUAUGUUAUUAUAUCGAACUCCUUUGUUUUCUAGUCUCGUCAAAACCUCGUCAAAGAAGACCGAUACAUGAUUCAUUAGACUUGUUGCACGUCUGUCUCCUGGUCUGACAAGAGUAUGCAACAAACCAAUCAGUCUUUUUUCUUCAUUAACCU
rnacentral:lncRNA from 1 species